rnacentral:rRNA from 1 species
GACGAACGCUGGCGGCGUGCUUAACACAUGCAAGUCGAGCGAGGCCCCUCCUUCGGGAGGGUGUCCUAGCGGCGAACGGGUGAGUAACACGUGGGCAACCUGCCCUCAGCUCUGGGAUAACUCCGGGAAACAGGGGCUAAUACCGGAUACGACAUCCACGGGCAUCUGCGGAGGUGGAAAGUUUUUCGGCUGAGGAUGGGCCCGCGGCCUAUCAGCUAGUUGGUGGGGUAGUGGCUCACCAAGGCGACGACGGGUAGCCGGCCUGAGAGGGCGACCGGCCACACUGGGACUGAGACACGGCCCAGACUCCUACGGGAGGCAGCAGUGGGGAAUAUUGCGCAAUGGGCGAAAGCCUGACGCAGCGACGCCGCGUGAGGGACGAAGGCCUUCGGGUUGUAAACCUCUUUCAGCAGGGACGAAGCGAGAGUGACGGUACCGGCAGAAGAAGCACCGGCCAACUACGUG